GAUGAACGCUGGCGGCGUGCUUAACACAUGCAAGUCGAACGGAAAGGCCCUGCUUUUGUGGGGUGCUUGAGUGGCGAACGGGUGAGUAACACGCGAGUAACCCGCACUUGACUUUGUGAUAACUCCAGGAAACUCGGGCUAAUACCGGAUAUGAGCUCCUGCUGCACGGUGGGGGUUGGAGAGUUUCGGCGGUUGGGGAUGGACUCGCGGGUUACCAGCUUGUUGGUAUGGUAGUGGCAUACCAAGGCUUAGACGGGUAGCCGGCCUGGGAGGGUGACCGGCCACCUGAGGACUGAGGUACGGCCCAGACGCGUACGGGAGGCAGCAGUGGAAAAUAUUGCACAAUGGGCGGAAGCCUGAUGCAACGACGCCGCGUGCGGGAUGACGGCCUACGAGUUGUGAACCGCUUUCGCCUGUGACGAAGCGUGAUUGACGGUAAUGGGUAAAAAAGCACCGGCUAACUACGUG
rnacentral:rRNA from 1 species